CGCGAAGAACCUUACCCACCUUUGACAUGGCAGGAAGUCAGAGAGAUGAGGCUGUGCUCGAAAGAGAACCUGCACACAGGUGCUGCAUGGCUGUCGUCAGCUCGUGUCGUGAGAUGUUGGGUUAAGUCCCGCAACGAGCGCAACCCUUGUCAUUAGUUGCUACGAAAGGGCACUCUAAUGAGACUGCCGGUGACAAACCGGAGGAAGGUGGGGAUGACGUCAAGUCCUCAUGGCCCUUAUAGGUGGGGCCUACACACGUCAUACAAUGGCCGGUACAAAGGGCUGCAAACCCGCGAGGGGGAGCCAAUCCCUCAAAGCCGGUCGUAGUCCGGAUCGCAGUCUGCAACUCGCUGCGUGAAGUCGGAAUCGCUAGUAAUCGUG
rnacentral:rRNA from 1 species